AGAGUGAUUUUAUUCAUUCCAAUUGUGUGUGUACAAAACAAAAAGAUGAGCUCUCCUUUUAUAGUUACAUAAUCACUCCAUGAAAUUAAUGAAAAAUUAUGGAUUAUAAUUUCUUGUGAGAUAGUGGGAGUUAUAGGGAAGUUAAAGGUUGCUAAUGGGAGAUAGUGGGGAGACUAAGAGAUAUAUGUUAUGAACAUUUAUAUUUAUUUUAAUAAAUUCAUAACACUCCCCAUUUGAUAUUCAUUACAAAGAAUAUGCCUCAUUAAACUCUUUACAUAAUUGUUAUUAUAUAAUAACAAUCAAAUUAAUUAUGAGAAGAUAAAAAGCCAAAUCUAAAAGAAAAAUUCUCUAUUUAUUAGAUAAUAGAGAAUAUACAAAGAAGAGAAAUUGUGAUGCCACAUCACCUCCUCAAGUCCCAACUUUAUAUAGAUAUAUAGAUAUAGAUGUUAAACCCCAUUUAAUUUCGUGUUGCAAUUCAUUGUUCAUUUUAGCGACAAAAAUUAAAAGAUUCACAUGAUCUAGACCAUUACUCUCAAUUGAGCUUUCAAUACCUAAUUAAUAAUAUAUUUAAUUACAAACUUUAUAGGUUCUUUGCCACUAACUACAUUAAGCAUAAGAUAACUAAAUUUUUUAAUUAUUAAUGGAGAAUGAGCCCACAGUAUUUAUGAGAGACAAUGUGGUUGUUACAUGGAAUUCUCCACUGAAUAUGCCUCAAACUUUGGAUGAGAUUCACUUCGAUACCUAACUAGAGUGAUUUGGGAAUAUUAUAUAACUAGAGUCUAGAAGAUGAGUGAAUAUUUUUGGUCCAACGGGUGUCAGACUGUCAGAUGCACACUUGGUUUCAUUCAAACUUCAAAAUCAAAGUGGUCAAAAUGAUGUAAAGUUAACCUAAUUUCAUAAGACUCCAAUCAUAGAUAAUUACACCAUCACCCAUCCAUUUCGUUUGUUUUAAACUAUGACAUUUACUUAGUUUUAGAUAGUAUCACAUUCACAUUCUCGGCGCAUGCCCACAAAAACUAAUGACUUUGAAAGAGAGAGAUAAUGACUCUUCACCUUGCAAUAACCAAACAUUUACAUAGUUUCACAUUGUCUUAAUGUAAAACCAUUUUUGGCUUAAUCCUCCUAAAAAAUUUGUCAUUAGCAUUUUCUGACAAGAAGUGCACAUGAUAGCAAUUGACACUAAGGUGCAUCCAUGGAUAAAAUUUUAAAAUAAUUUCAUUCAUCACGUCGUAUUGUUCUCAAUUUUCAAUCUGUAACUUUCAAUGUGGCUUUCUUUCUUUCUUUUUAAGAUACAAGGGGUAGGUAAAUUUUAAACUAAUUUUUUAAUCUUUAUAUCUUCUAAAAUUCGAACUUAAGAGACUAACUAUAAAGAAAAAUUUAAACAAGUGACUGAGUAAAACAAACUGUUUAAAAAUCGCUCGACCAUAACUCCUAAAGACAAUUUUCAAGAUGGCAUUACAUAUAAACAUUUUAAAUAGUAUUUGCACAAAUAGAAAUUAUAAAUUUUAUUUUCACUUAUAUAAAUGGGAUACAAACUCCAAAUUUUUCUUACCACUACAAGAAUUUUUACCGGCUUCUUAGGAUUUUUAUUAUUAGCAUUAUUGUAUCAAUAAUAUUGUAAUUUAUUUCUUCCUAAAAUUUUUCUAAUCUUGGCAUCUAUUAGAUUAGAUUAUAGGAAAUAUUGGAGAAUAUUUUUGGAGGCAUAAAGAAGCAAAUUAGCAUGAACAUGAGGAUUACAUAUCUAAGAGUUCCAAAUAAAGAAAAUUAAUAUAUCGGUAAGUGUAUUAAGUAUUUAUAGAAUAUAAAGGGAAGUAUUUCACACUUUGAUGGCUGCAGAAGACAUAUCGUAUUUUACUUCAAAGAAGCGAGCAACACAUAGAACAAAAAGAAACCCUACCUGAUAGCAUACGAUGUUUCAUAUAUUUAUGAAAUUUUAAUCUUCAAGUCUUUCAUUAGACUAUCUUUAUGAUUACCUUGGCCUCUCAUAAAUGAAGGGUUGUUUGUUGUAUUAAAGGGAUCUCAAGGAAGCAGUAAAUACAAUUAAAGAUGAGUGGGCUUACUAAGUAAGUUCGACUAAUUUAGAUUUAAUAAGGUUGCGACAAGAGUAAGAGGGAGUCUGAAGUUAUGUAAGAUUUCAAUAGAUUAUAAUCUUUUCACUACUCAGUGAACUGCUUAACGUGUGGGCAUGAGCUCAUAAAUGUAAGAUUGUGAUUCAGACCACGUAAAAGUCAUAUGUGUGCUUUAUUUUAUGCAAUCUAUUGUUAUUUGAUAGAUUUAUGGUGAAUGAACAGUACACAAAUAGUGCGAUAAAAUAGGUACAAUGAAUAGUGCCUAUAAACAGUUACUCUUAUGCAUUAUUGUAUGAACAGUGACGGUAAAUAAUAUGUAUAUACCUACUGUAUAAACAAUAUCAUAUAAAUAGUAAUUUGAACAGUAUCGCAUCAAUACUAAUCUGUGAACAAUGAUUUCUGAAUUAAUUAAUUAAGACAAUCAUUUUUAUUUAGGAUUUUAAUUUGUCUAAACUUGUCAAAAUAGAUCUAAAUUCUUAACAAAGUUAAACCGACAAUGCCAACUAAAAUACAACAUAAGCAUUACUUAAUUUUCUGAAAUAGUUUUCUGAAAGACCGAAAUCACUAUCAAAAGAUUCAAACUUCCAAACCAGUCGUAGUAUUGAAUUUUCAAGGCUUGAAAUUUCUGAAAGAGUGACAGAAAGAAAUUAAAUUCAUCAGCUUAUUAAUUCACCGAUGACUUAAUUCCUCAUUAACCAUUGCAGAGCUGAGAUGAGAUGCUCAAGUGUCAAAGCAAAUCAUUUUUGAAAUUCAAAAUUGGACCUACGUUUUAGAUCCAUGGCGUCUUUCCUGAUUCAAAUCUGCGAUUCAAUAUGUCAUGCAAUAUGUCAAGUAUUUUGACUGAAUUUUUUUUUUUUCCUUCAUUUUCAUUUUAAGAAACAAAAAACAAAUUCCGCCUAAUGAAAUUCCCACUUCAGCAAACAUUAUGCAUCGUAUCAUACAUCAUUCUCAACUGUUUGAAUUUUUGUCUUCCUUUUUGGCUUUUCACAUGAAACGAGCUCAAAACUUAGCUUUCUCAAUUAAUUACUUUUUUUUUAUACACGUAUUACAUAAUUAGGCUAAUAAAUUUCUAAGUCUGUGGUCAAUGUGGCAACAAAAAGAAGAAAGUAACCCGAAUCCCUAUGACCCCAAAUAAAACCUAUGUUACACAUUUGUUUUAAUUAAUAAAUUAUACAAGGUCAUCUUGCACGUUCCUUAAGUUCCAUCCACAAAUUAAUUUAUUUCUAAUUAGGUCAAAAUUUAAAAGACCCAAGUAGAAAAAUACAUACUAAUCACAGAAUUCCCGAUAAAUAUUUUCAACUUUCAGAGGGAGGCUUUAACUGAGGUAUAUAUGUUCACAACUUUAAUUAUCUAAAGGACACGAAAUACAACAAUUCAAGUAAUAAUUUAAACAUAUUUAUUACGGGGUCCAUUUCCAAUAAAUGUUUCACAACCAAUAGUACCAAGUACAUUGUUUUCAUCUGAGACAUGACUUUUCGUAAGAUUUGAGUUGAACCACAUUAUCCGAAUUGUGGAUCUUUCUAGUGGUUGAGAUUUGGCAGGCUGAACCUUCUUUUUUUUUUUUUUUUUUAACACUCUUGUUCUUCAAUUAUGAAGCCCUAUGUGAUCUAGCUCUUGUUCUGAACCUUUGGCAAUCUUAUUUUGAUUUAUGACUCCUUACCCACUAGAAAGCAAUGAAUCGAACCGUUUGGGAUAUGGCAUUUGCCCGCAUACGAUUGUGAUGAUAAUCUUUUUCUGUUUUAUUCAGUUUCCUGUAGAUUUCUAAAUUUAUGAACAUUUUUAGGCUGGGACUUUUUU
rnacentral:lncRNA from 1 species